ensembl:snRNA U6 U6 spliceosomal RNA
GUGCUCGCCCCGGCAGCACAUAUACUGAAAUCAGAAUGACCCAGUGAAGACAGACAUGGUCCCUGAGCAAGGAUGACCGCAAAUUCAUGCAGCAGUCCAUGUUCUU